AGCAGUGGGGGAAGUAUUGCACAAUGGGGGAAACCCUCGAUGCAGCCAUGCCGCGUGUGUGAAGAAGGCCUUCGGGUUGUAAAGCACUUUCAGUAGGGAGGAAGGUAGUGUAGUUAACACCUGCAUUAUUUGACGUUACCUACCAGAAGAAAGCACCGGCUAACUCCGUGCCAGCAGCCGCGGUAAUACGGAGGGUGCGAGCGUUAAUCGGAAUUACUGGGCGUAAAGCGCAUGCAGGCGGCCUGUUAAGUUCAGAUGUGAAAGACCCGGGGCCGUUAACCUUCCGGAAUUGCAUUUGUAAACUAGGCAGGCUAGAGUCUUGUAGAGGGGGGUAGGAAUUUCAGGUGUAGCGGUGAAAUAGCGUAGAGAUCUGAAGGAAUACCAGUGGCGAAGGCGGCCCCCUCGGACAAAGACUGACGCUCAGAUGCGAAAGCGUGGGGAGCAAACGGGAUUAGAUACCCCUGGUAG
rnacentral:rRNA from 1 species